UACGAAGGGGGCUAGCGUUGCUCGGAAUCACUGGGCGUAAAGGGUGCGUAGGCGGGUCUUUAAGUCAGGGGUGAAAUCCUGGAGCUCAACUCCAGAACUGCCUUUGAUACUGAAGAUCUUGAGUUCGGGAGAGGUGAGUGGAACUGCGAGUGUAGAGGUGAAAUGCGUAGAUAUCUGGAGGAACACCGGUGGCGAAGGCGGCAUCCUGGACCGACACUGACGCUGAGGAGCGAAAGCCAGGGGAGCAAACAGG
rnacentral:rRNA from 1 species